AAAUAUUUUGCAAAUCAUGAAGUAUUGUGUGAUCCAUUUGCAGAAAAUAAUACUAAUAACUCAUGCAAUUAUAUACAUGAAAAUAAUAAACCUGGAGACCUUAAAUUGGUGAGAUACCGUCACUACCUUUUCAUUCCCUCUAAUGUUUGGGUAUUUGACCAAGAACCCCUGCCAGUUACUUUGAUAAGCAAGGGAAACAAUAACGAUGACCAUGUGGGGUGGGGGAGGGGGAGGGAUGUGGGGGAGGGGUACCCCUCCUCCCCAUUUGCCCUGCACCGAAAGCUGGGGAUUUCUGAUUUGCAGCUCUUUCUCUACUAGGGGAUUUCUGGAGGAUGCAAGGAGUUUGCCUUCAUGGGUCUCCAGGUUUUGAGGCACAAGAGCCACUUUCUCUUGCCUCCUCACCGCACCCCUCUCCAGCCCUUCAGUUCUGGACUGGGCAGGCAAGGUGGGGGCAGGCGGGCCAGACAGUGCCCGGAGCGGAGCUGCCCAUGCAUUAUGGAAGACGCGGGCGCCCGGGCUGCUCCCUGGUCCUUAAAUGACAGCAAAUGAGGUAAAGCCGGGAGGGUGGGGACGGGAAGCGGGGCGGGUGGGGGGGCAGAAGGAAACCGUCUCCAGGGCCCCUGAGCCUUGGCGGAGGACCGGAGCCAGCCAGUGAGCGGAGCCUGGAAGAGGGAGGAGCACAUCUUGAUGCAGAGAUGCUGCAGUGGCUCCGCCGCGCACGAGCACGAGCGCCCGCGCGCGCGCGUGCACACACACACACACACACACGCAUACGCGCACACACACACACACAUACACACACGCCCUCAGCCGCCACCGGGCCGCUGCACCAGGACAGCAGCGAGCGGCUGAGGCCAGCAAGAAGAGAGGAGAGCGGCCCAGGGGGCUGGCGGCCGGGCUGGCUCCGGCUCCGCCCUCGAGCAGCAUCCACUUGCCCCAGCCAACACCCUUCCUUCACCCCAGGGUGACCUCUUUGCAAAGUCUUGCUUCUGUUGGACAGUCGGCGCUGUGGGAGAAGAGGGGAGACUGGAGCACCAGUUUGGGCAAAGGCGUGCCCAAGAACAGAGAUUUAGGGCAGAGAAACCGAGGCAAGUCCCAUCCCUUCCCCCCUCCCCAACCUUAUCUUCUCCUCACAUCCCUCCCCUCAUCCUCACUGGUGGGAGGGGAGGAUUUGCAGAAGUUUGGCUUUCCAGUGGGCAAAGGGGCUGGAACACAAGGAGGAGGGGUGCGGUUUAGGGGGUCUAGAAAGAGAGGGCCAUCCUUCUGUCCAGCACCACCGGGCUUACAUAACAGCCAGAGGUGGGGGAAGCAGCCCCAGGCAGUGUCCAGAGCUGAAUCCCAUCAUCUUCUUCUCCGGGAGGGGUUCCAGGGUCUGGGAAGCAAGGGAGGGGAUGAGCUUCCACAGUGCAGGUGGAAGGAGAGUCCUGGCCCUACACGGGGACAAAGCCAGCGACCCUUUGCCACAGCCCACCGGGGGCCGAGCCUGGCUCUAGCUGUCAAAGUUGUUUGGAGGUUGAGGAAUCUAGACAGAUCAGGACAGGCUGGGCUGCAGAAGGGUGGGUUUUCCUGCCCUUAACUUUCCCGCCCUCCAAGUCCAGCCUGCAACUGGCCAGACUCUUACCACCCUUUCCUUUCAGCCUCACUCCCCAAGGCCCCAAACUCCCUUCCCAGCCCAGCUGGUAUCCUUUUUCUUCUGCUCGGGGGAGGCAAGAGGAGGAAGUGCCCCAAUAACCCAGGAGGUGGGUGGUGAUCUGAUCUCAUCUUGGCCAGCGAUCUCAGGCUCCUCUCCCAACCUUCUGGCCAGAGAGCCCCUCAGUCAGUGUAAGCCUCUGAGUCUCUGCCUCCCAGUUGCACUCAGAGGGACCAGAUGAGCCACCAGCCUCCAGAGAGCAAGGGCAGUGAAGGGUGGGCCACCUGUGGGAGAGGCUUGGGGCAGGGGGGAGCCUGAGAGAUGGUGCCCUGACCCUGGCCUCGGGAGGAGGGAGUUCUGCCUUUAGAGACAGCAGCAUCCAAGCCCUUCCCCAGGGGGCUCCCCCAGUUAACCCUUUCCAGCCAGGUUGCAGGACCACUCAAGCAAAGCUUUUGCUACAAGGUCAAAGUGCUUUCUAGUUUCCCAUGAAACCUCUCAGGAGUCCCCAGCCAGCAAGAGGGAAGUGGGAGGUGAGAUAGAUGGGGCGGUGGCCUCCAACCUCAGCCCAUGGCAUCCAAGUCACCCAAGGUCCAGCUGUCCCUCUAGGGCUCACCACGAGCGGUGAAGAGAGCAGAGGCACACCGCCCUGGAAGCGGGGUGCCCUGCCGUGUCUCGUAUUCCCUGCCGUCUUCUACACCCCCACCCGGCCGGGCUCUCCUCUCAGUCUCCCUUCCUGAUCAAAUGCUCUCCACCACCUACCCCACACCAUUCCCCCUGCCAGGUUCGCUCCUUAUGCAACCCCAUCCCAGCACCUUCUGUGCCAGCAGUUGUUCAGACAGAGACACAUGUGGGAUGGACCUCUGAGGAUGUGUGCUCAACGGCAUGGUUGCAUAGGUUGUCUCUGGCUGACCGGACUUACUCCUCAGGAGCCAAUACAAGGAAGGAG
rnacentral:lncRNA from 1 species